rnacentral:lncRNA from 1 species
UGAAUGUGAUUUGGAACGACUUCCUAAAUCUCAUUCAUACUCUGGCCAGAGAUUCUUAAUCAUAUCAUAAAGUAUUCUCCCCCAAACGGUUUGAAGGUUAGAGAUCCCUUGUUGCGCAUUCACUUGCCUCCAUGGCUAAGUGGCUUAACCCCGACGAUGCCGUGGACACCCUCCUGAUGGAGUGACUUUGACAUAAUCAAAUAUCAAGGACUUAACCACAAGACAACUAUGAUGCCUAAGGUCAAAUGACUACUUUGCAUUAUCCCAACCAUGAGUUCUCAUGUGACAUGAGUAUGAGAACUCCUCGUUGAUCAUGUUCAGUGGACUCAUUCAUUAUUGAGCACCUACAUGCUUGUCUUGAUGUCACACACACCAAUGACUCGAGACUAGUCACUCUCCCUGAGAGAAGACACAUCACGUACUGAUCUUAACGGACUGUCAAUGCCCAAUUGGCAAUCCUAUGAUCAGGAACGUUUAGGAUGUGUCUACGAAAGAAUGGUCUCAUGAAUCUAACUUCUUUAGAUCGCUUUCUCCCAAUCACAUAUUCCUUAGACUUAUCGUUUAAGCGUAUAACAUUUAUAUGAGACGGCUCAAACAAUAAUCUUUGCCCUUGAUAUUAAACUAAAUUAGUUUAACAUGUGAAAUGUCUGUAAAGUAUCAUCAUAUGAUUGGUUUUAGGGCACAUUUCCAACACUGUGAAGAUGAGAAAAGAGAGAGCUCGAAGAUAAAGAGAGAGAGAUAGAGACUUAAACAUUUCAGACGGUUUAAACCAUCUGCAGCUCAUCUGUAAGGUGAGGUGUGGUCUCAAAACCAAGGCCAAAAGCAGAUGGUUUUAAUUACGAAAACCAUGGACUGUGGUGGUUUUAAUUAUGAAAACCAACCAAUUGGACAUGUGAUGUGAAAGAGCAGAGGUGAGGUGACGAUUUGAGUGGGUGGGCUUUUUAUAUUUUUAUAAGUUUGGGGUAUUUAUUAUGUGUGUGUGUGUAAAUCUUAUAUAAAUUAUAAAUUAUUUAGAUAAUAUUUUGUUUGUUUUUCUAGGCAAGCAUAUCAUAUAUGUACAUAAAACAUUCACAUAUGUAUGUUAUUCUAUAAAAAUUAGCAUAUCAGUCAAUAAUUAUUUACAUUUGAUAUAGUAAAUUUAAUUAAUUCAUAAAAUAUAUAAGAAAUUUACCUAAAUCCACCUAGGUUGCCUAGGCGCCCGCCUAGACCUAGCGCUAGGCGCUAAGUGCUAGUCCGCCGCCCGACUAGCGCCUAGCGUUUUUUAGAACGGUGAUUGUGACGUAAGGACUACAUUGAUUUGAGACACAUUCUUGUGGGACUACAUUGAUCGAUUUUUAAUUUCAGGGACCAUUUUGAUGUCGCAGGUCAAUUUCAGGGAUCAUUUUGAUGUUGCAGGUCAAUUUUAAGGAUCAUUUGUGAGAAUAAAGGACUUAUAAGAUCCAUUUAUGUGUCACAUCAGAAUUUAACAUAAUUUUUAACAGAAUUGUGACAGAAUGACCAUAUUUAUUUGCGACACCUAUUUUCAGGGACUACAUUGAUUAAUUUUCAAUUUCAAUGACCAUCUUGAUGGUGAGGGUUAAUUUCAAAGAUCAUUUGUGAUCAAAACCCCUUGUUUUUUUUGUUUCUAUUUUGCUUAAAUUUAUGUGGGCCUCCUUGGAUGUAUUGUUUGUAGUUAAUCUAUUUUGCCUUUUUAUGUUGUGUUUAUUUUGUUUAUGUUAGGUAUGCAUAUAAUAUUUGGAUGGGCCUAAUAUGCAAGGAUUGUGGAACUGAGCUAUAUGUACUUCAUUGAGUUUUGAAGUAUAUAAUUUGUUUUCAUCAAUACUUGCCCUUUUUAUUUUUUUUAUUUUUUUUUAAUUUUUUGGUUCAAAUCAAUACUUGCCCUUUAGUUUCAUCAACAUUGUAGAUUGACGACACUGUUAUAGGUUUAUAGAAAGGAAGUGAUUUUUCUACCCUUUUUAGCCUCUUAAACACUUCUGUUUAAUCCUAGCCAAUGAUUCUGUUUGAUUUAUUCAAUCUAAUGACUAUAAAUAAAAAAGGGUGUGUGAGAAACUAUAAACAACGUAUGAAAAUCACUUCUCUUAUGGAAAAACCCUAAGGCAUGCAAAGAUUAUUUAAUUAGUGAUUACAUAAUGACUUGUCUUAUUAACACCCCACAUUUUGUUGACUACACCCUAUAUACUUAAUACAUUCCACAUUUACUUUUUAAAUUAAAAUUUUUCUUAACACACCCCACAUAUUUUCCAAUACUACCCUCACACCUUAUCUCAUACACUCCACACCUCACAUCUCAUACACUCCACACCCCACAAUCAUCAACUAAUUAACCACACAUCAAACUCUUCAUCUAUUUCAAACAAAAGAAUAAUCCGCAUUUUAAAGACAAGAAAAAUGAAUUAAAUUGUGGUAUAAAAUUUUCAUCUUGCCGUUUGAUUUAUAAACAUCCAUCAAAUUUUCUUGAACAAUCACGUUGGAUUCUAAAAAGCCUAAUGGACAAAUGGUAGGAAUUGUUCUUAUAAGGUCAUGUUAGUUCCAACCAGCCAAAAAACAUUGAAUUUCUUCAUCAAACAACCACAAGAAUAUUGCAUUUAACUACUACAUCUUAAAAUUUUACAACGUUCCCCAGUUUUCUUCCUAUUUCUUGGAUUCCAAUUAGAGCAUGGCUUUGCAAAAAGUCAAAUUUUUAUUCCAUUAUUUAAAAGGAAAACUAAUGAAAAGGGCUUGAAAACUUUGAGUUUUAAUGAUAAGGACAAAAUAAAGGGUAAAGUGAAUAGUACCAAGAUUGACUUUUUAGUGAAAAAUGUGGUUUUUCGUUAAAAUAAACAGUACCGGGUGCUUUUCAUUAAAGUUCCCUUAUUUAAAUAGUUUCUUGAAUGUGAAAACCAACGAAUGAAAGAAGAGCAAAACUCAAUUUUUUGUUCAGUUCAUCA